AAUGACACAAUAUUCUGUUGCAGUGCACAUUUGUUCUGUGCAUUUUAUUGACACGUUUCCGGACUGUAUGUGUUUGUCCAGUUUGUGGAUUGGCGUUUUAUCUGAUGAUGCACUUCUUUUAUCAACUGCGAUAGAGUUCAGCCUCUCACGUAGCCCCGGACCUUGAAGGAGAUACGAAGAACGUUCAUUGUGAAGCGCAUUCACACACUCCGGAGGACAUUUAAAGACAGCUAACUAUGUUCCAGA